rfam:Oryza rufipogon genomic scaffold, chr04
AAAAAGGUAAACCUUGGGUUUCCGUGCCAACGUUUGACUGUCCAUCUUAUAUGAAUUUUUUUUAUAAUUAGUAUUUUUAUUUUUGUUAGAUGAUAAAACAUGAUUAAUACUUUAUGCGUGACUUAUCUUUUUAAUUUUUUUCAUAAUUUUUUCAAAUAAGACGGACUGUCAAACGUUAGACACAGAAACCAGGGUUUGUCUUUUU